GGCAGCAGGUGGCGGGCGCGCACCUGAGGCGCGGCGGGGAGAAGGGCGGGUUGUGCGGCGCGGGCGUCCCGGGGUGUCCACCCUCCCCCCUCGGUUGCCCUGGCAGAGGGAUCGGCUCCGCGCCGAGAGCCGCUGGACUUUGCUUCACUUGUUUGGUACUUCAGUGCGCUGUCCUGAGGGGUGGUAGAUCCGCGCAGCCUCCCAGUCCCGUUCCGUACCGACCCAGAAGCACGCAGGGAGGGUAGGAAGGAGGAGAUGCUAGCGCUGCAUAUCGCAGCAGGCAUUGGGCGGUUCUGACCCCCUUCCAGGGGCCCGCUGAGGCGGCCCUGAGGCGGCUCUGUCCGUUCGCUGGGCGGUUGGGCGUUCCUCCCGCCCGCCGCGGCACCCCCAGCAGUGCCCGCUGUGGCGGCGCAGCGAGGCGCAGUGCCCGGGGCCGUGCAGGUGUCCGUCCGCCCCCAGCAGCCGCCCGGAGCGAGGUCGGCUUUGGCUUAUGACAAGACUGGACUUAGAGGACUUCAAGAAUGUUUCCUAAUAUGACUUCUUCAGGAAGAGGUCAUAAGGAAGGGAAGGAGAACGCAGGAGCCUAUUUGACAGUUGUUGCAUCCUCACCAGUGAAUGAAACCCAUUCUGCUACUGUGGUCCAGGCAACUAGUUGAAAAAGAGCAAGUAGAGGGAAAAGGUUGUAUCUAGAAGGAUGUACAAAUGAGCUUAGAAUGUUGUAAGACUGGGGAAGGCAACUGAAAUACAGAAGGGAGCUGAGGGUCUUGGAAGGAAGUGCGGGAGGUAAUGAAGAAGACUGGGAGAAUACUUUGAUGGCAUACCAGUAGGAAGACAUAGGAGAUAUAGGAUAACUAUUAAUCAAAAAACAACUUUCAUUAAUUUUACUGCUUAUAAAACAAGGUAGUGGUUUGAUAGGUCAGUGUCUUCUUUGCAUGUUUAAUGGAAUGUGUCUGCACCUGAAUUGCCAAAUCAUUUGAAAGCAGAACUUCAGACAGGGGUUUCUAAGUUUUCUCUUAAAAAUGUACCUGCUGAAGCAAUAUUUAGAAUUAGAUGAGAUUGGUACAAAUGAUUGUGUAAUUUGGACACCUGAGAUAUCUGUAUAUUUUUCAAACUUGAGAAAAUAUUUUUUUUGCAAAUAAGAGAGUUCUGGCUUUCCAAAUUUGAUAACCUGAGUAAUCAGAAAGAAUUUGGUUCAGUUGUCAUCACUUGUAUUUCCAGCUUAGGAACAUAUUAUGAUUUAUAAAUAGGAAUAGUUUUAAAAUGAAUAUUGGGCUUUACCCUUUGAUUCUGAUGAAAAGAUGCAAGAGAAAUUGCAGAGUAAUGAUUGUAAGAUAAUACUUUCUCAUUUGCACUAAGUUCUAUCCUUUCCAGAUAAUUUUUUGUGCACUAGUUGACCUGCAUUCUUCCUAAUGCCUAAGUUCUCUUCACAUUUUUACCAAUGUGUGUCAAAUAUAUCUGAAUUCAAAUAAAACCAUCUCUCUUGUAUUUUUAGCUCUUAAAGUAAGACAGUCUCCAGUCAGUUAUGUGAUCUGUCUAGUUUCACAGUAGAGAUUCUGAAUUUGGUGUCUUUUUCUUUAAAGAAAACCAUGGUUUUCCUAGUCCGAGCUGCAACUUGGCUUAAGGCACAUUGUUUCAAUUGCAAUCUAUUUGUUGAGUGUGUACUUAGAUGGCAAGUCUGGCUGGGAAAAACUGAACGUACUUUUGCUCAUAAACUGUUACUGAGCAUAUUGGUAAUUUGGAGCCCAAGUUGUGUGGCAUGCCCUUGUCAUGUCUGCAGCUUUUGGACCUAUGCUUAGGGUAGUCUACUCAUAGAAGAGUAUGCUGUGCAUUGGAGUCAGUGUAGGAACUGGCCACAUAUGGCUGCUGUGUGAUGUUGCAGUUCAGUGGUGAGCCAUAGUGUUGCUGUGAAGAUCAUUUCCUUCAUAUGGGUAUGGCAGCUUUGAAGGAAUGGGACUUUCACGCUGCUCUGGAGAGAGUUUUUCACAUUUCGUCAAUUUGUAAAGGGCAAAUCCAGACACUAUUGUAAAGAGGAGUGUGAAGCCAAGUAGCUGCUGAUUAAUGCCUUCUGUUUUAUGCCUGAUGAAUUUUAUGGAUUGCAGUGAAUAAAAGGCUAAUUUGUCUCCUUAACCAUAUAUUGAUAUAAAUGUGAUCAUUUUCUGCACUAGGUAACUUGGGUUAAUGGAGUGUUGUUUCAGUGUAUUGUGUUCUGUCUGUAUCAGUAAUGUCUUUGCGUGGCCUGAACUUCCCAUUCCUUACAAAUGGGUGAGCAGCAAUAAGCACUUCAACAAACAGACAUUUCUUAAGCUGUCAAACUUAAAGUCUGAAUAACUUAAAGAGGAAGGCAAUCAGACCUGCCAAGCGGAAACAAUGAACACUUAUUCUAAAAAAUAUAGAAUGGGUUACAAAUCAAACAAAACUUCAAAGUUCGGUUGAAGUGCAACUCAGCUGUAGUUUAUGAAAAUGUUAAUAAAGAAAAGAAUGAAGGCAGCACCAGUGCCUGAUACCAACUGCCUGCUUUUCUGCUUUUCUCUCUUUUCCCUUCCUGCUUCUUUCAUGCAUAGCACAAUGCACUACAGGCACACAAUGGGAAAGGGCCGCAGGGUUCCUUGAACUGAUCCAGUUAAAGUUCUACAUGUUCUACUGCCAACUCCAGCACACAUAGGAGACUAGAGAGACUUGAAGAGAUUUUAAUGUCUCACCAAGAAGCUGAAGCAGCAGCAGACCAAGCAGCAGGUGUUCAUGAUUCCAUACAAAAGCAUGAACACAUACAGCCAACAUCACUAUGAUUUAGGCUCUUCCCUUUAGCUUCCACCUGUAAGAAACUCUGUUGAAAUUCUUGGGUUGGCACACACUUACACCUGAAUUUGAAAAGACAACACUGUUUCCUUACUUAAUUUUCCCCCAUACUCUCAAUUCUUGCAAAUUGCUUUUUCUGUUGUCUCUUUUCCUGCAGUAAUUUAGAAUUCUCCUCUGAAUGUUGGUUGUUACGAGUGCUGCACAUUUCCUUUUAGCCCUCUGUGGCAACAUGUGCAUACUGAGGCUAGGCAGCAAAAUACUCUGGCCCUCCAACCUGGAGCCUCAGACUACAAUCAGAAGCCAGUCAUUUUCUGUGUGUAUGUGGAAGAAAUAGACCCCCACCCCUCCCAAAUACUUCUACAGUAUAAAGAGAUCAAUCAUAGCUUUACCACGGUAGAUUUUUUACCCUGACUCACACACACAGGUAGCAUGCAAUCACUGAUUAACAGAAAUCAUAACAGGAAAAAGAAUAUAAUAUAUUCUUCUGUUAAUUCAUAUUUUAGUUUUAAGAAAGAUGUCUUAUUCCAGGAGAAAACAAUAUGAAUGUCAGUGAAACAGCUAUUAGGGAAGCGAAAAUACAGAGCCGAGUUUACUGGUCAAGGCUGUCUGUCUUUCCUGGCAAUCCAUCAAAAAUACGCAUAUUUUGGAAACCUCUGAAUGAAGAAAAGUUUGUCUUUUCAGUCUUGGAAGAGGAGAGUUUCUUUCCAAGAAUACAGUGGUGCUUUUUAGAAGACCAGUGACUGUGCAACAUGUGCGUCAAUAGAAGUUUUUUUCAGAAAAAAACUUACCCUACCAGUGUAGGCAGCUAUUGACUAACAUUACUGACUGACUAAAAUUCUUGUUGUGUGAAAAAUCAGGGGAAGGUACGGAUAAAUUGCUUUAGCAAGCACUUUUUGAAUGGUGUCUGUGAAGAAAAGACUCCUCCCUCGGCACAAGUUAGGAGGAGGAGGAAAAAGAACUGUCAAGGCUUCAGCACUGAGGCCUUGCUUGGCUGACUUAUCCCAGCUGAAACUGGGGCUGGCCAACAGGACUUCAGCCAAAAACGCUACCGCUCUCCUUUUCUCCACCAUUUUUCCUAUUCCGCUCCAACACACAGUUUCCACAGAAGCAGAGUAGCACAGAUAGUGCCGUUUUGGUGCCUUUCUGCAGAGGUAAAUGUUGUUUAACAAAAGUCUGAAUAAAGCGUUGGCUAGUUAACAUCUCAUUCUGGUGAAAAGCUUUAUUAGAGUUUAAAUUCAGAGAUUAUCUGGAUAUGAAGAAACAUAUUUGGAAUUCCUCUUCCUCUCUCAACAUUUUAAACCUUCUGCAGUAACUCCAGAGACUGCGUGACUGUCUGGCAGCAGAAAUACUAAACUAAUACUCUAAUUCAUCACUUAGGGCUUUUUCAGAAUUUUUCCUUACUAUUCAUCAGCAACAUUGGCAAAUAUCUGACAUGAGAAACAGAAUCAAGCAAACCACUUUCAGAGCCCACUACACGGCUCGCGCCGUGUCCCACAGCCAAGCUGAGACUCAAAGCAGAAUCCUUCCCACCACUGUGCUUAUUUUUUAAUUAGAAGGUAAUUUUGUACACUGAAACAUACAGUGAAGGUGGCUGCACUUAGAAUGCACUGCAUGUUCCCAUUGGAACACCAAGCAGGUACCUGAGCAACCUCAUUCACUGAAAGGCUAACUCUAUUUUGCCAUUGAGUGUUUCAGACAGCCUCCUGACCUUCCAACUGCCUGUAAAGAAUUUCCCCAUCAGAAAAAUGUUGUCAUGCCAGUCACUAAGCCCAGCGAUUAAAAGUUGGCAAGUACCUCUCAUUCCUUACAACAGGCACACUUUGCUGGGUUAUUUUCAGGCUUCUGGCCGUCAUUCUCAGCUGCAUGGGAGAGCUUAUUUGCAUGCUGACAGUGGCGAUGUGCUGGCCCAGUGAAUGCUCAGCCAAACAAACUGCUAUGAGAUGGCACUGUGGUGCAAUAUGCUCUUAUCACCAUACUUGAAAUAAUGAAUGUUUACUGUACUCCUAGGCAGUAAAGUGAAGUUCGUUGUUCUCUUUUUGUCAAAUAGCCAGGAGGAAACGAGGAUUACUUUUGCCAGUGCUAAUCAGUUUGGACAAAUCUGUAAGAGAAAGAAGGGUCAACAGUAUCUCCUGAGAGCAGGAAAGAAGGUAGUGAUAGACAGGCAAAGGACUGCAUGUACUCUGGGUCAUAUUGUCCUCAAACUAUGAGAAUAAUUAGGCAUAUGAAGAGGGAAUGCUAUGGUGUUGCCACAGCCUACAAGAGAGCCAAACAGAAGCGUCCUGAUUUUCAGUACGAGUGUUGAACAGCGAGAUUUUAAUGUGAUUCACAGCUAUGAUUAGAAGCAUACCACAGGUAUUGCCACAGUCCAUUUCAGCUUUGUGUCUAUCAACAUUUGACAUUUAUGCCAUGACUGCUAAAGCAUUUUCAGUGGCCAGAUCCAGUUGUGCUAAGGACAACAGGCAUUUUGCUGGUAGCUUAAUAGGGUACAACAUUUCACACCAAUAACAGUGAUCAAAGACAAUCAAAGAAAUUUUAUGGAAAACCAAGUGUGACAGCAGGCAUGGCCAGGGCAGGCAGGCACACACACAGCAGCACGGCUCAUUUUCUCCCUCCACCUCUGCAGUGUUCUGCUUUUCCCCCUGCACAUGAGGCAACAGCCAUGCUGCAGGAGGUGGUCCCACCCAGCACCAUGCAGCAUCCCUGCUGCUCGGUGGCCUUGGAGAGCAGUGAGAGCAGCUGGCCCCCCUGGCAGGUAAUAAUUCAGGCUCUGUGUGCGUGCUGCCUUGGUUGUUUUCCUCUUCCCAUCCACACUGCACUAGCCAAAGUACACAGAAAGGUCUUCCAAACCCUGGAGGUGAAAGGCCUCCUGAGAUAAUUAUGGGUGGGGGAAGAAAUAUGUAAUUAUUCCCCCAGCUCGGACUCCCAGUCCCUGCAACACUUGCUCUUUACUGUCCUUGCAAAAAUCAAAUGCUGCCACUCAAAGAUAGAGACAUUGGACCUGUGGGCAGAAACAUCCUGUUUUGUGUGCAGUGCUGCCAACCUUCAGGCCAUCUAACUUCUAAACAGCUUCCAUCAAUGGGCCACCUAACUUCCAAACUUCUAACAGAAAAACAAAAGGUACAAAUGCAUUCAACAGUUACCCCACAAAUUCAAUGAUUAGUUUUACCAAACAUUCUAGACACAUGUACUCCUAACCAGCAGGAGUAUAGCACAAUUCCUGACUGUUUGCAGCUAUUCAUAUAUAUAUAUAUUUUAAGAGAGAAACUUGGUCAAAAGAAUAAGUCUUCUCUGCCUAAAAUUCUCAUAGUAUGUCUACAAAAUAUGCUUCUCUACCUUACUCCUACUGCAGACUAAUUGACCAAGGGAACUGGAGAAAUCAAUUUGAAAAAUAAACACCUUUUCAUUUUUAAAAUAGAAUGGGGGAAGGAAAAAAGAUAAGAAUCGACUUAAAGGUAAUGGCCUUUAAGUUAAUAGCCCUUAAAAGCUCCAUAAACUUCAAAAUUUUUUGUCUUUAUUUUGGAAGUCUAUAUGAUUCUUUUUGGACUGCUCUCAACAUACUUCAAAGAACUUCCUAAUCAAAAUUGUUUACCUUGAGCAUUAAGUUCUCUAUCUCUCUCCAUAACAAUUUUUUUUUCAUAAUGCUUUACUUUUAGAUUUUGCUCGCUAAUGAAUUAUCACCUCCACUUUUCUCUUCACACAAGGCUUCAAAAUAGGCAUUAGAAAUGCAAACAACCUACAUAUGAAAAAUACAUUAGGCUUUUAAUAGUUCUGUGGUGCUACUAGCGACACAGGUAAAAUUCAGACCAGUUAAGUGCAGCUGGUGCAAAGGGUGUAAAAAUUACAACUUAUCACCCUGAUUGCCUGUGCUUUCUUUUAUUAUUUUUUCCACAGAGUGGGAACACCUCACAUUUGUACCUUUGGGUUUUCGAGGAUCAUGCUUGAAGGAGACUGACUCGACAUGCUCCUGACAUGAGUUCUCUUCCUAGCCAGAUUUACACUCCCACUUGCCAGUGUGCGAUGUCCUGAUUCCCCCUCCUGGCGAGCCUGAGCACAGGAAGCCAUUAUCAACUUGAACUUAUUACAGGCCAGAACUAUGGCUGGUCAUCAUUUUUCCAAUGAAAGAAAGUUCCUUUAAGUUGCAUUAAAUAACUGAUAUUCACAUUUUAAUUGAGAUUAAAAUAUCAUUUUAAUAAUACCACUUGACUGGUAUAUUAAAACCAUAAAGUAUUUUUAGUUGUUAAACUAACCUGAGGAAAAAAAUCAAGUUAGAGCUGCAGUCAUAUUUUCUUAUACUUUCAUGCGUAAAAAGGAACACUUGACUAAAUGAAAGAGAAAGUGGUGAUGACUACAUGCUGCUCUUUGUCUGCCUGCACUCAAGCAUUGUAACAGAACAUGACCAAAUAUACCAUUCUGAAGCUCUGAUGUUCUCUACUGGUCAUAAUGGCUCUGUUUUAUUUCAGAAACAGAACUGGAGAUUCCCUCCUUCCUGCCCCCAAGCAGUAGGAAGGCCAGUCUCAAGGAUUUUGCCUGUAGAUUCUCCAACAGGCAAUUAGUUCUUUAAUAAAUUGGAGAUUGCUUACUGGUUUUAGAAAGGAGUAAUGAAAUUUGCUCAAUAUAUUAGAAAACUUGAGAAAUACAUAGAAAUGAUAUCAUUAUCUAUUUACCUUGUGGUACCACCUGCAGGUCCUUCAAAAUGCUGGCUCUUCCCUGUGUGAGGCACUUCAUACCACUCCAAAUUCUAUUCAAUUCAAGCUAAUGGUAAUGGGUGGAAGAUGAACACAGUCAACAGGGAGAGCUAGCAGUAGGGUAAUUAUCAUACCAAGCAGAGGUUGUAACGUAUGAGCUUCUUAAUUACUGACAAGGACUUUGUAGACAAAGUGGUACUUAGUGUAGGAAUCUGGAGGAGGAAAAAUUAAUGUUUUAGGGAACCUCUCGUGCAACAUGAAAGAAGCAAGAAGUUACAAGAGAAAAAAAAAAGUUGGACUGAUGUGUGGGAGAAGUCUUGCUGAAGGAUUGCCCAGGCAGAUAUUUUCAGGCAGAUAAUAUCAUGUCUUUGGCUUGGAUGGGUGAAGGUAUGACCUUGCAACACCUAUGUACAGCAGCUAUAGUAGUAAUUGGUAAGAUGACAGGACUAUUCAAAUGACACAUAGCUCUUCUUCACAUUUCCUCUACUGCCAAGACAGGCUGGGAAUUGGAAAACUGCAGUCACAACUCUGGGAUCCUCAGUGAUGCUCCACAGUUGUUUGAAGCACCAAACUCUGCCAUGUCUGUCACUGCGUCCUGUCCACUGCUGACCCAUCUGCAGAGGCUCACAAAACCCGUUUCCCUCUCCUGGUUUCUAUUAGGAUGAUGAAAUUCGAAGUGUGAAAUUCCAAUUUACUACAGACCGUGCUAAAGAGUCUGUCCCCUUCCUUCUUACAGUCCCCAUUUAGAUACUGAAAAGCCGCUAUCAGAUCUCCCUGAAGCCUUCUCUUGUCCAGGCUGAACAGCCCCAGCUCU